rnacentral:rRNA from 1 species
AGAUUGAACGCUGGCGGCAUGCUUUACACAUGCAAGUCGAACGGCAGCGCGGGGCAACCUGGCGGCGAGUGGCGAACGGGUGAGUAAUAUAUCGGAACGUACCCAAGAGUGGGGGAUAACGUAGCGAAAGUUACGCUAAUACCGCAUACGAUCUAAGGAUGAAAGCAGGGGACCGCAAGGCCUUGUGCUCCUGGAGCGGCCGAUAUCUGAUUAGCUAGGUUGGUAGGGUAAAGGCCUACCAAGGCUACGAUCAGUAGCUGGUCUGAGAGGACGACCAGCCACACUGGAACUGAGACACGGUCCAGACUCCGUACGGGAGGCAGCAGGUGGGGAAUUUUGGACAAGUGGGGCAACCUGAUCCAGCAAUGCCGCGUGAGUGAAGAGGCUUCGGGUAGUAA